rnacentral:rRNA from 1 species
GGUGAACGCUGGCGGCGUGCUUAAGACAUGCAAGUCGAACGGCAGUCUUCGGACUGUAGUGGCGCACGGGUGAGUAACGCGUAACUGACCUACCCCAAAGUCGCGGAUAACGAUUCGAAAGAAUCGCUAAUACGUGAUGUGCUGUCAGAUUGUGUUCUUCCAGUAAAGAUGGAUUGCUUUGGGAUGGGGUUGCGUUCCAUCAGCUAGUUGGUGGGGUAAAGGCCCGCCAAGGCGACGACGGAUAGCCGGCCGGGGAGGGUGGUCGGCCACAGGGGCACUGAGACACGGGUCCCACUCCUACGGGAGGCAGCAGUUAGGAAUCUUCCACAAUGGGCGAAAGCCUGAUGGAGCGACGCCGCGUGAGGGAUGAAGGUCUUCGGAUCGUAAACCUCUGAAUCAAGGACGAAAGACACUUCGGUGGGAUGACGGUACCUGAGUAAUAGCACCGGCUAACUCCGUGCCAGCCGCCGCGGUAAGAC